rnacentral:rRNA from 1 species
CCUACGGGUGGCAGCAGUGGGGAAUAUUGCACAAUGGGCGAAAGCCUGAUGCAGCGACGCCGCGUGAGGGAAGAAGUAUUUCGGUAUGUAAAGCUCUAUCAGCAGGGAAGAAAAUGACGGUACCUGAUCAACAAUCCCCUGCUAACUACGUGCCAGCAGCCGCCGUAAUACGGAGGGCGCACACGUUAUGCGGAUUUGAUGGGUGUAAAGGGAGUGUAGACGGCAGCACAAGGCUGGAGUGAAAUGCCUGGGCUUAACCCCGGAACUGCUGUGGAAACUGGGCAGCUGGAGUGCAGGAGAGGUAAGUGGAAUUCCUAGGGUAGCGGUGAAAUGCGUAGAUAUGAGGAGGAACACCAGUGGCGAAGGCGGCUUACUG